rnacentral:rRNA from 1 species
GAGCUGGGUUCAGAACGUCGUGAGACAGUUCGGUCCCUAUCCGGCGCGGGCGUAGGAUAUUUGAGAGGAGCUGCCCCUAGUACGAGAGGACCGGGGUGGACGGACCACUGGUGUAUCAGCUGUCGACCAACGGCAUAGCUGAGUAGCCAAGUCUGGACGGGAUAAACGCUGAAGGCAUCUAAGCGUGAAGCCCCCCUCAAGAUGAGAUAUCCCAUUCCUUCAAGGAAAUAAGAUCCCUUAUAGACGAUAAGGUAGAUAGGUUCAAGGUGUAAGUGCGGUAACGCAUUCAGCUGAUGAAUACUAAUAGAUCGAAGGUUUAUUCUA